GGUUAAGCGACUAAGCGUACACGGUGGAUGCCCUGGCAGUCAGAGGCGAUGAAGGACGUGCUAAUCUGCGAUAAGCGUCGGUAAGGUGAUAUGAACCGUUAUAACCGGCGAUUUCCGAAUGGGGAAACCCAGUGUGAUUCGUCACACUAUCAUUAACUGAAUCCAUAGGUUAAUGAGGCGAACCGGGGGAACUGAAACAUCUAAGUACCCCGAGGAAAAGAAAUCAACCGAGAUUCCCCCAGUAGCGGCGAGCGAACGGGGAGGAGCCCAGAGCCUGAAUCAGUGUGUGUGUUAGUGGAAGCGUCUGGAAAGGCGCGCGAUACAGGGUGACAGCCCCGUACACAAAAAUGCACAUAUUGUGAGCUCGAUGAGUAGGGCGGGACACGUGGUAUCCUGUCUGAAUAUGGGGGGACCAUCCUCCAAGGCUAAAUACUCCUGACUGACCGAUAGUGAACCAGUACCGUGAGGGAAAGGCGAAAAGAACCCCGGCGAGGGGAGUGAAAAAGAACCUGAAACCGUGUACGUACAAGCAGUGGGAGCACGCUUAGGCGUGUGACUGCGUACCUUUUGUAUAAUGGGUCAGCGACUUAUAUUCUGUAGCAAGGUUAACCGAAUAGGGGAGCCGAAGGGAAACCGAGUCUUAACUGGGCGUUAAGUUGCAGGGUAUAGACCCGAAACCCGGUGAUCUAGCCAUGGGCAGGUUGAAGGUUGGGUAACACUAACUGGAGGACCGAACCGACUAAUGUUGAAAAAUUAGCGGAUGACUUGUGGCUGGGGGUGAAAGGCCAAUCAAACCGGGAGAUAGCUGGUUCUCCCCGAAAGCUAUUUAGGUAGCGCCUCGUGAAUUCAUCUCCGGGGGUAGAGCACUGUUUCGGCAAGGGGGUCAUCCCGACUUACCAACCCGAUGCAAACUGCGAAUACCGGAGAAUGUUAUCACGGGAGACACACGGCGGGUGCUAACGUCCGUCGUGAAGAGGGAAACAACCCAGACCGCCAGCUAAGGUCCCAAAGUCAUGGUUAAGUGGGAAACGAUGUGGGAAGGCCCAGACAGCCAGGAUGUUGGCUUAGAAGCAGCCAUCAUUUAAAGAAAGCGUAAUAGCUCACUGGUCGAGUCGGCCUGCGCGGAAGAUGUAACGGGGCUAAACCAUGCACCGAAGCUGCGGCAGCGACGCUUAUGCGUUGUUGGGUAGGGGAGCGUUCUGUAAGCCUGCGAAGGUGUGCUGUGAGGCAUGCUGGAGGUAUCAGAAGUGCGAAUGCUGACAUAAGUAACGAUAAAGCGGGUGAAAAGCCCGCUCGCCGGAAGACCAAGGGUUCCUGUCCAACGUUAAUCGGGGCAGGGUGAGUCGACCCCUAAGGCGAGGCCGAAAGGCGUAGUCGAUGGGAAACAGGUUAAUAUUCCUGUACUUGGUGUUACUGCGAAGGGGGGACGGAGAAGGCUAUGUUGGCCGGGCGACGGUUGUCCCGGUUUAAGCGUGUAGGCUGGUUUUCCAGGCAAAUCCGGAAAAUCAAGGCUGAGGCGUGAUGACGAGGCACUACGGUGCUGAAGCAACAAAUGCCCUGCUUCCAGGAAAAGCCUCUAAGCAUCAGGUAACAUCAAAUCGUACCCCAAACCGACACAGGUGGUCAGGUAGAGAAUACCAAGGCGCUUGAGAGAACUCGGGUGAAGGAACUAGGCAAAAUGGUGCCGUAACUUCGGGAGAAGGCACGCUGAUAUGUAGGUGAAGUCCCUCGCGGAUGGAGCUGAAAUCAGUCGAAGAUACCAGCUGGCUGCAACUGUUUAUUAAAAACACAGCACUGUGCAAACACGAAAGUGGACGUAUACGGUGUGACGCCUGCCCGGUGCCGGAAGGUUAAUUGAUGGGGUCAGCGCAAGCGAAGCUCUUGAUCGAAGCCCCGGUAAACGGCGGCCGUAACUAUAACGGUCCUAAGGUAGCGAAAUUCCUUGUCGGGUAAGUUCCGACCUGCACGAAUGGCGUAAUGAUGGCCAGGCUGUCUCCACCCGAGACUCAGUGAAAUUGAACUCGCUGUGAAGAUGCAGUGUACCCGCGGCAAGACGGAAAGACCCCGUGAACCUUUACUAUAGCUUGACACUGAACAUUGAGCCUUGAUGUGUAGGAUAGGUGGGAGGCUUUGAAGUGUGGACGCCAGUCUGCAUGGAGCCGACCUUGAAAUACCACCCUUUAAUGUUUGAUGUUCUAACGUUGACCCGUAAUCCGGGUUGCGGACAGUGUCUGGUGGGUAGUUUGACUGGGGCGGUCUCCUCCUAAAGAGUAACGGAGGAGCACGAAGGUUGGCUAAUCCUGGUCGGACAUCAGGAGGUUAGUGCAAUGGCAUAAGCCAGCUUGACUGCGAGCGUGACGGCGCGAGCAGGUGCGAAAGCAGGUCAUAGUGAUCCGGUGGUUCUGAAUGGAAGGGCCAUCGCUCAACGGAUAAAAGGUACUCCGGGGAUAACAGGCUGAUACCGCCCAAGAGUUCAUAUCGACGGCGGUGUUUGGCACCUCGAUGUCGGCUCAUCACAUCCUGGGGCUGAAGUAGGUCCCAAGGGUAUGGCUGUUCGCCAUUUAAAGUGGUACGCGAGCUGGGUUUAGAACGUCGUGAGACAGUUCGGUCCCUAUCUGCCGUGGGCGCUGGAGAACUGAGGGGGGCUGCUCCUAGUACGAGAGGACCGGAGUGGACGCAUCACUGGUGUUCGGGUUGUCAUGCCAAUGGCACUGCCCGGUAGCUAAAUGCGGAAGAGAUAAGUGCUGAAAGCAUCUAAGCACGAAACUUGCCCCGAGAUGAGUUCUCCCUGACUCCUUGAGAGUCCUGAAGGAACGUUGAAGACGACGACGUUGAUAGGCCGGGUGUGUAAGCGCAGCGAUGCGUUGAGCUAACCGGUACUAAUGAACCGUGAGGCUUAACCUU
rnacentral:rRNA from 1 species